CAAAACAGAAUUGAGGUUUUAGAAUAUUCCUUCAACCACCUGAGCAUCUUCUUGUUGAUCAUCUUGUUUCCCUUUGGACUCCUCUCCUAUGUUACCUUAAGAAAACAAAGAUGCCCCCAACUCUUUUACGGUCCCAGAAUAGCAAAACAGGAUCCUGUGUCAUUAACAUUUGAUAGAGUUGCCUACUUUGCUAUACUAAGAGAGACAAUUCAUGACUUGUCUGAAUCCAUCAAGAUGGAGCCUGAGACCAUCAGUCUGAAGCCCUCAUGCACUGGUUUACUUGCAUUUGAUUUUGGUAAACUUCAAAGGUUUUUAAAAUCAUCUUAUUGGUGUUGUGAUCAUUAUUCACUGAUGGUCAGAGUUUCACAGUAGCAAGGAGUUUUCUAUACUUAGAAAAGGCAGCUUUUGCUACACUUACAACAUUAGGAAAUAUGAUUUCUAGUUUAGAUACUGCUUUAAAAGUAAAAGCACUUUUGGAAGUACUUACUAUCUUAUCUGCAGCUAUUUUUAACUGACAAAGAUUCCAAACAAUUUAGUGUGGAAAAUGAAAACACUACUUUUGUCAAAUUAACCAGGUAAUGCUUCUUCUGAAUGGAGGGCAUGGAGUUACCAUAGUCACUCUUUCCUUUUCUUCCUGCAAAUUUGCAUAUGAUCAUGAUAAUCAAUCCCUUCCUUUGGUAUCAAAGUUCUCCAUAAAGUCAGCCACCUUUCCCCUCAAAGAUUAGCAUCUCCCUGUAACAAGCUAAGGUCUUAUCAAUAAUAGUAUGUGGAAAAAUAUUUUUUAAUUCAUGUUUCUCAGCAUGUUCAGUUCAAUUACAAAAGAAACCAGUUAACUUGGAUCACCUGAAGUAUUUGCUGAUUAUUCAUCCUUUCUCCACUCUCUGGAACUACUGAUGUGCUGCCGAACAUAUUAGUCUAUGUAUGUACUCUAGCUAAGGAUGUGGAGGUAGUUGAGAUGGAGAGGUAAAGUGAACUCAACUGUGCAGUGUUUCUGAUCCAGUCAUGUUUUUUCUAUUAAUGAUCAAAGUUGAUGUGUUCCAGAUAUUGGGACAAAGACUGGAGUCUUUAUUUCUUGUAUCAUAUUCAUUUAUUUUCUCUGGUACUUUUACUACACAUUCCUUGACAGCUAAGCAGUUCGAAACAGUCUUUUUCUGUCUUUUCUGAAUUCCACAUAAUCUCUUUAUAAAUUUUAAAAAACUACCAACAAAAGGAAAUUCAUAGCCAGAUCUGAGACAAGUUUGGUGAAAUAGGUCAACACCUAUUUGACCAAUUUUGGCCAUUUCAUCUUCCUGCCACUUUUAGGUUGAUAUCAAACUCAACUGUGCAUCAACAGUUUUUCUGAAUUUCUCAUAACUUUUCCUAGGCUUAUUAAAUUUCACAAUCCAAGACUGAAUUGUUCCAUAAUAUUGUGGUAGAACAGAAGGGCUCACUGGGAAGAUGUAUGCAACUCUUAAAGUUCUCCAAGUGAACAAGGACUGCCUACAUCCCACUAUAAAUAGAGCAUUUUGCGGACAUUCAUCUUCAAAGUGCAACCCACAGGACCUAAUACGCCUAAAGGGGCUACUUUUUAAGUAAUCUAUUUCUGCAAUUUCAAAAGGACUCCAAAAUAGAGCAGUUAAGGGAACACUGUCUCUUUCCCUGGUAGACUGACAAUACCUAUUAGCACAUUAAAGGCUAUUAAAAGUCAUAUAGCUCAGAGAGAAACAAAACUAUUUGCCUUGACCAUAGAAUAUUUUUUCCCUCACGGGUAUUAACAUGCCUAAAACUAGUCUAUCACAAAACACUAUUAGAGGAGGCUGAUUUUAUUUGAAAAGCAAAAUUAUUUUCAACAUUAUUCUUCAUGGGCAGAAUCCUCUAAGGAAAGGGUAUUUUUUAACUGAUGGAAAUUAAAAUAUUUUAAGUAUUUUUGAAAAUUUUGGGGGGAGGCAAUUUUUGGUUAAUUAUUGGGAUGGGUGAGGUAUUGCAACAAGCAAGUGGGCAGGAAGUAGGACAGCUCAGUUCAGUCGUUCAGUUGUGUCCAACUCUUUGUGACCCCCAUGGACUGCAGCACGCCAGGC
ensembl:lncRNA